rnacentral:rRNA from 1 species
CGGGGACCCGCACAAGCGGUGGAGCAUGUGGUUUAAUUCGAAGCAACGCGAAGAACCUUACCAAAUCUUGACAUCCUCUGACCCCUCUAGAGAUAGAGUUUUCCCCUUCGGGGGACAGAGUGACAGGUGGUGCAUGGUUGUCGUCAGCUCGUGUCGUGAGAUGUUGGGUUAAGUCCCGCAACGAGCGCAACCCUUAAGCUUAGUUGCCAUCAUUAAGUUGGGCACUCUAAGUUGACUGCCGGUGACAAACCGGAGGAAGGUGGGGAUGACGUCAAAUCAUCAUGCCCCUUAUGAUUUGGGCUACACACGUGCUACAAUGGACAAUACAAAGGGUAGCGAAACCGCGAGGUCAAGCAAAUCCCAUAAAGUUGUUCUCAGUUCGGAUUGUAGUCUGCAACUCGACUAUAUGAAGCUGGAAUCGCUAGUAAUCGUAGAUCAGCAUGCUACGGUGAAUACGUUCCCGGGUCUUGUACACACCGCCCGUCACACCACGAGAGUUUGUAACACCCGA